AACGAACGCUGGCGGCAUGCCUAACACAUGCAAGUCGAACGAGACCUUCGGGUCUAUUGGCGCACGGGUGCGUAACGCGUGGGAACCUGCCUUUAGGUUCGGAAUAACUCAGAGAAAUUUGAGCUAAUACCGGAUGAUGUCUUCGGACCAAAGAUUUAUCUCCUCUCGAUGGGCCCGCGUUGGAUUAGCUAGUUGGUGGGGUAAAGGCCUACCAAGGCGACGAUCCAUAGCUGGUCUGAGAGGAUGAUCAGCCACACUGGGACUGAGACCCGGCCCAGACUCCUACGGGAGGCAGCAGUGGGGAACAUGGGACAAUGGGCGAAAGCCUGAGCCAGCAAGGCUGCGUGAGUGAUGAAGGCCUUAGGGUUGUAAAGCUCUUUUACCCGAGAAGAUAAUGACAGUAUCGGGAGAAUAAGCCCCGGCUAACUCCGUG
rnacentral:rRNA from 1 species